UACGUAGGGCGCAAGCGUUGUCCGGAUUCACUGGGUGUAAAGGGUGCGCAGGCGGGAAGACAAGUCAGGGGUGAAAUCUCACGGCUCAACCGUGAAACUGCCUUUGAUACUGUUUUUCUUGAGUUAGGGAGAGGUUGAUGGAAUUCCAGGUGUAGCGGUGAAAUGCGUAGAUAUUCGCAAGAACACCAGUGGCGAAGGCGGCUCACUGGCCCGGUACUGACACUGAGGUGCGAAAGCGUGGGGAGCAAACAGG
rnacentral:rRNA from 1 species